GGUGAGAUGUCUGAGAGGCUGAAAGAACAUGUUUGGAAAACAUGUAUAUGGUAAAACGUAUCAAGGGUUCGAAUCCCUUUCUCGCCA
rnacentral:tRNA from 2 species